AGCCGCACUCAUAUAAUAUUACUUUUUUGAUUAUAAAUUGAAAAAUAUCAAGAAAAAUUUAUAACCCGAUCAAAAAAAUCUAACAGAAAAUAAAAAAGAAUAAGUGAAGAGAGUUGUGAAAUAGUAAAUAUAUUGAGGGUAUUUUAGGCAGUUUGAGAUGUGUAUUUAGUAUAAUAUUGAAAUGAAAAAUUAAAUAAGUAGUGUAUUAAGUAAAGGGUGUGUAUUAAGAAAUUAAGGGUGUGUAUUUAAAAUUUCUCAAUUAAAUUUAGAACAUUAUUUUAGAAAUAUAAUGAACUUAUUUCAUAUUUUAGUAUAUUUUUAUUUAUUAAAAAUACAUAAAUAUAUAAUCUUAUUUUCCGUGUCCAAACUGACGCAGCAGGAGUAUGGAGGGCUAACCAACGUUAAACCCUAAUAAUUGGAGAGCCUUCAAGCGAAGAACUCUAUAGGACCAAACCCUGGAGCGCGCUAGGGAUUAAGAGAAAACUCUUAAGUUUCUGAAUUAUAAUUGAUAAACUGAAUGUCAGCUACCCAUAAGGGUGCUUAUAUAUGAGAAACAAAACCCUAGGGCGACUAACAACCAAACCUAAAAGCCCCAGGAUUGAAUUAAAACAGAAUCCGAAAAUAACUAGGAAACAUAAAAAUCCCGAAAACUAAUAAAACGCUGAUUUGAGGUCCAAAACAAACUUGGAUGGCCGAAAAAGCCCAUACGUCGUGGCAAAGCGACGAGUUUUGUUCG
rnacentral:lncRNA from 1 species